CCACCCACACCCCCCUCUUCGUCAGAGAAGCUGAAUCAGCGAGUCGGGCAUGCGAUGGCUGCAGCAGCUGGAGAACUCCGGAGGUCAUUAUGGCUCUUCACACACAGGAGAGAAGAAAGAGGGAGGAGCAGAGAGUGGAGGAAAGUGAGCUGACAGGUAAUAUACGCUUCCCUGUGCCUUCCUCCCUCCGGACGGGAGUUUGCCCCUCAUGCCGGCUGGUCCGCACUGACGUCUCUGCUUUUUUCUUCUCCAUUCCGGAUGCACUGGGGGUUAAGUGCGUGGCCGGUCAGCCGCGGUGUGCGGUGUGGUCGCUUGGAGGGACUGGAAUUUACAGCUCUGCAGCAGCAUGAUGAGAAAAACUACUUCUCUGGGAACACCUUGUGAAAUAAUUGUUGGUCAGGCAGCAGGCUAUUGCAGCACAGCACUCUCUGGUUCAUUACCUCCUCUUGGCUGCAGCACCGUAGACAUCUGAAAGACAGACUCAGAAACUCAGUGUCCCUGAAACGUGCAGCUUUUAUCUUGGAUCUUUCCACUCUGAGGCACUUUCAGACGGAAUACAACUCUAUCGGGAUGGUUACACACUUUGCCAGCACUCAAUUUUUCCAGUGGCCAGCCGUAAUUACUGGAGCCAUGUUUGGUGUUUCAAGACAGCGGGGGGGACAGGUGUACGCUAGCCAUGAAGGGACAUUGGUGUCACAGUGGAACGCAAGUUUCAGGCCAGGUGGGGGGUGAAUCGGAUUGAUGUAAAAACAGAUGUGCUGGCAUAUUAAUUCUCCAGGGAGGGCGGUUCGGUGGCUGCUGGAUAUGUGUGUCAGUGAGUGAACCCACAACACCCAGGGUAGUAACCCAGUUUCUCUCUGUCUCUCUGCAUGCUUUCCAAUCACUAGGCAGGGGCAGGGCUGUAGUGCUGCAGUGCCAUCUCCCCCUCUCAACACACUCAUCCCUAAAUCUUUACUAACACUGUAGCGCCACAAGAGUCCAGCCAUACCUCGCCAUCAUAUCUAACCCAUCAAGCACCACAAACUCAUCCAGGAUUUCCACCCCUGCCCAGAAUAGCCUGUCUAAGUGUCCUUCUGUUAUGUUUCCACCCCUGCACCUCUCCUUUUGGCCUGGUAUUGGAUAGGCUCCUGAGAGGAGGGGGAUAAGACAGGGCGGUGUUGACUUGUGGAAUGUGUGGAGCUGGAGCAAAGAUUCAUUAGAGAGCUACUGAACAUUUCAUGCUGCCAUGCAAACAGUUAUUGAUCUCUAGCAGACAGCAUUCAAGUUCUAGAGAAGCUUCUAGAAUAAACACACCAAGGUCAACUCUGGGGGAAAAAAGGGAAUAUGGGGGGUUUGGAGGAAAAAAGAAGGGGUACAAAAAAAAAAAGAAAUGGGAGAGGAGAAUCAGCACACUCGUUACAAAUCACUAUUGCUGAGUGGGCAUUAGCUCUUGCAUGUGACCUCUGGCCUGGUCUGUGUGGCUAAAGCCCAAAUCCUGCUCACAAUAGCUUCCUGUUCCACUUGGAUCAACCUCAUUUUUGGACCUCAGCAACCAGUCUGACAUACAACUGAGAAUGCAGUUAAAUAACGGACAAGCAGAUGGAAAAUGGGUGGAAAGGAGAUGCAUACCAUGUUCAGGACACCGUUACAUUAGAAAUGAGUCUUUUUUUCCCCCUAAGGAGUCCUUUGAACUUUCAUGGACAACAAGAAAUCCAGGCAACAAGGACAACACAGGAACAACUUUCUCUAUUUUUCAACAACAUUUUUACAGAUUUCAGAAAGAGACUUUAUUUUUACCAAAAAAAAAAAACAGUAUGGCACUGUUCUAGAUUUCCAGAUUCCCGACGGAUACCCCACAUUCUCUCGAGGACAGUCAAGGUCAACAGAAGAUAUAAAACUGAGUGAACCCCAAUAAGUGUAACGCACACAGGGAACACUGUUGGGAUAAGGCAAAAGAAAAAAGCGUGACCUAAAGAAUCUGUGAAAGUCACCUUAUGUAUAAUCCACUGCAUUCUGCAGGAUGGUAAAAAAACAA